rnacentral:rRNA from 1 species
UACGGAGGAUGCGAGCGUUAUCCGGAUUUAUUGGGUUUAAAGGGUGCGUAGGCGGGAUGCCAAGUCAGCGGUAAAAAUGCGGUGCUCAACGCCGUCGAGCCGUUGAAACUGGCGUUCUUGAGUGGGCGAGAAGUAUGCGGAAUGCGUGGUGUAGCGGUGAAAUGCAUAGAUAUCACGCAGAACUCCGAUUGCGAAGGCGGCAUACCGGCGCCCAACUGACGCUGAAGCACGAAGGCGUGGGUAUCGAACAGG